rnacentral:tRNA from 1 species
GCACCCAUAGCUCAACGGAUAGAGCAUCUGUCUUCGGAACAGAGAAUGGGGGUUCGAUUCCCUCUGGGUGCA